GGAAAAGUAGCUUAGUUGGUUAGAGUGGUAACUUGUCAUACUAUAAGGCAGGUUCGAGUCCUAUUUUUUCCG
rnacentral:tRNA from 1 species